GACUGUGGCCAUUUCUUCAAGAGAACAUAUGCAACGAGCUUUCUGAUUCUGCUCCCGCAAACACCUCUCCUCUCCUCCAGCCAGACACCCACUCCUGGAUCCCCAAAUGUUUCUUAUUAGCUCCUAAGCCCUGACUCCACUCACUUUUGACUUCUCUGGGCCACGCGCUCACAUAGACCCCAAGUCCCAUUCCUUCACCCCACCUGGCUCUCCAGCUGCUGCCUCCUCCCCUUUGCCUUUCAGCUCCUGACUUUCUGCUGAUGCCCUGAUCUCCUCUUCUCUGCAAUCCUCGCCUCCCCUGAAAAUAUCCUCCCAGGGCCGCCUCCUGCUUAGGUCCAUGGGCUCUCUUCCUGCCUACCGUGGGGCUGCCUCCCUUGAUCUCUCCCUGCUCCUGUGCUCUAAGUCUUGGCUAUUCCUUGGAUCUCCUCUUCCGUCUUCCCCUCUCUGUUGGCUUCUCUGGGUUCUGUCUUCAGUCUCCUCCUUUCCAGUGCGUCCUUGUCCGCUUUCAGGGCCUCUUCAGUUGCCAAGCCCAGUCUCCCUCUCCUCUCCUGUGCAGACUCAAAAACCUCCGACGCAUGCUGAGCUCAAACUUCUUCAACAUCCUCCAAGCCUCUCUUGUCCUCCCAUCACCCAGUGCACAGUCUCAGUGUCCUGUCUCCUUUAGGGUGAUCUGAUGUCCCAAUUUUAUAGGUACAGUCCCGAUAUUUGGGACUUUGUCUUAUAUAGGUGCCUAUUUACACACACAUACACACACACACACCCCGCCCCAUCCCCUGUCCCGAUUUUUCAGACGUGCUGUCUGGUUAUCCUAGUCUCCUUCCAUCCACUGUCUGUGCCGUGUGCUGUCGCUCUCCUGCACCACCACCCACCCUGAUCCCCACCCGUCCCAAAUGGCUUGACCACCUCUCACCUCCACUAAAGCAAACGGCUCCUCCUGGCCACCCUGCUCCUCACCUCAUCUCCCACCCCUCCCCCAUCCCAUCCCAAAUGCUGCUGCUCAAAUCACCUUCCUCUGAUGGCUCUGCACCUCCCUUCAGAGCCAUCCAGCAGCUCCCAGCUUCUGACCCUCAGUGCCGGGCAUGGCUCUGCCCUGGCACAUGUCUCUGCUCUCCCUUCUCACUCCUUUUUGAUCUGCACAGCCAGCAGAGCUUGCUGCUCCCUUUGUGUCCUCUGCUCACCCUCAGUUGUGUAAGGCUGCCCUGUCCCCAUCCUCACAGCACACUCCUUUGUGCGGGCCUUUCAGCAAGGAUCUCCGGGAACGUCAGAAACGGUCUCAAAUUCAUACUGGCCCAGCUGUGUCUGCAGCAUUUUAAGCUCCAGGAGAGCAGCCCUGCACUGCUCAGAUUGCCCCAGGAUUGAGGUGCUGCAGAUGGCUCCUUUGUAGCUUCCGCAGCUCGGUUGCAUCGAGUGGACUGAUCUGAAGGUUGACCCCUUACCGUGCAGUCACCACCACCAAGAACCUCUCAUGUACAGGUAACCUCUGUCAUGUGGCAUUCUGUUCUCUGUCUGCUAAGGGCCGCUGCUCGUGGAUGCUAGUGCCUUUGGAUAGUUUACAGGUUUCUGUAAAAUCCUAACAAGUACACUGUAAACCUACCACCCAUGGUCAUCGUGAAGGAUGGCUUGGCUUCAGACUCUUGCAGAACAGGGCUGGCUAUAUAGAUCACCGGUUUCUAAGUGACAUAUCUGGUGUAUGGUGUGUUAGGGAGCCUGCUUAAAAAAAUACCAUAGUCUUUGCUCCCAAGUACAUCCUAAUCCAGUCAGACUAAGCAAAUGGAAUAAUAGCAGCUGAUGGUUAAACAUUAGGCAACAUCUGUUAUUGACAUGAUCCUUCCCCACUGCAAAUUUUCCAACCCAGAGGACUAUGACUCUUCAUUUCACACUGGGUGAGUAGGAAAUUGCUGCAGAGGGAAAGGUUUCAUUUCAGUGUCAGAACAAAUACCUUAAUCAAUUGAUUAAACAGUAUUAGCUGUUUAGAAUGAUAGGAAAUACUUAACUUUGGUACGAUGGAAGAAGAAAGAACUGCGGAGCAUUGUGGACUGAGAGAAUUUUGGGCAAGGCACAAAUAUAGAGAUUAUAACUUCUAGGUCAUGACCUUUGAUGGGGUGACAGGUAUUUUGCAUAUGGAGAAGCCUAAAAAUGUUGCUGUGUUGUUAGACGGCAGGGAUACACGCAGAGCUGCUCAGUAAAGCAGAGAUGUUAUCGGGAAAGAACUCAACAAAACAAAACAAGCCACUUGUCCUGUUGUGUCAGGAAUUUGUCCUUCUCUGUCAGUCAUUCUGGGAAACUAAAGCGUACACAGCUCUCUGCUUGCAGUGGAAAAAAAUAAGAGCAAACUGCUACAGAGUGCAGGUUGCAUGGC
ensembl:lncRNA